GCAUUAAUGGGGUAGUGGUAACCUGGGUCGUUGCCAUGUGCGAACUUAGUUCGACCCGCCGGGGGUUCGAUUCCCCCUUAAUGCA